UACGUAGGGUGCGAGCGUUAAUCGGAAUUACUGGGCGUAAAGCGUGCGCAGGCGGUUUUGUAAGCCAGAUGUGAAAGCCCCGGGCUUAACCUGGGAAUGGCAUUUGGGACUGCAUGGCUAGAGUGUGUCAGAGGGGGGUAGAAUUCCACGUGUAGCAGUGAAAUGCGUAGAUAUGUGGAGGAAUACCGAUGGCGAAGGCAGCCCCCUGGGAUAACACUGACGCUCAUGCACGAAAGCGUGGGGAGCAAACAGG
rnacentral:rRNA from 1 species